UCAAGUAGAAAAGGGCGCAUGGUGAAUGCCUAGGCACUAGAAGCCGAUGAAGGACGUGACGAACCACGAAAGGCUUCGGGGAGCAGUAAGUAAGCGAUGAUCCGGAGAUAUCCGAAUGGGGGAACCCAAUACCGCGAGGUAUUAUCAAGAGCUGUUAAGGCUGUUGAAGGAAGACGCAGUGAACUGAAACAUCUAAGUAGCUGCAGGAAGAGAAAGAAAAAUCGAUUUCCCAAGUAGCGGCGAGCGAACAGGAAAGAGCCCAAACCAGCUGGCUUGCCAGUUGGGGUAGUAGGACUGCAAUAAAGUACUUGAAGCGAUAGCAGAAUUAUCUGGAAAGAUAAGCCAGAGAGGGUGAGAGCCCCGUAAGCGAAAUUGCAGAGAGACUUAGCAGGAUCCUGAGUAGGUCGGGACACGAGGAAUCCCGAUUGAAACCGCGAGGACCAUCUCGCAAGGCUAAAUACUACCUAGUGACCGAUAGUGAACCAGUACCGUGAGGGAAAGGUGAAAAGAACCCCGGAAGGGGAGUGAAAGAGAACCUGAAACCGUGUGCCUACAAGUAGUCAAAGCACAUUAAAGUGUAAUGGCGUGCCUUUUGUAGAAUGAACCGGCGAGUUACGUUAUGGUGCAAGGUUAAGUCAGAAAAGACGGAGCCGGAGCGAAAGCGAGUCUGAAGAGGGCGAGAGAGUAUCAUGACGUAGACCCGAAACCAAGUGACCUACCCAUGACCAGGUUGAAGGCGUGGUAAAACACGCUGGAGGACCGAACCCACGUGAGUUAAAAAUCGCGGGGAUGAGUUGUGGGUAGCGGUGAAAUUCCAAACGAACUUGGAGAUAGCUGGUUCUCUCCGAAAUAGCUUUAGGGCUAGCCUCGUGUGAAUGAUAAUGGAGGUAGAGCGCUGUUUGGACUAGGGGCCCGUCAGGGGUUACUGAAUCCAGAUAAACUCCGAAUGCCAGAUAUCAAUGCACGGGAGUCAGACUGCGAGUGAUAAGAUCCGUAGUCGAAAGGGAAACAGCCCAGAUCACCAGUUAAGGUCCCCAAAUCUAUGCUAAGUGGAAAAGGAUGUGGAGUUGCGUAGACAACUAGGAUGUUGGCUUAGAAGCAGCCACCAUUUAAAGAGUGCGUAAUAGCUCACUAGUCGAGUGACGCUGCGCCGAAAAUGUACCGGGGCUAAGCAUAGUACCGAAACUGUGGAUGCAUAUCAAAGGAUAUGCGUGGUAGGAGAGCGUUCUAAGUGCGGAGAAGUUAGAUCGAGAGGACUAAUGGAGCGCUUAGAAGUGAGAAUGCCGGUAUGAGUAGCGAAAGAUAGGUGAGAAUCCUAUCCGCCGAAAGACUAAGGUUUCCUGGGGCAGGCUCGUCCGCCCAGGGUAAGUCGGGACCUAAGGUAAGGCCGAGAGGCGUAGCCGAUGGACAACAGGUAGAGAUUCCUGUACUGAAAUUGUUCGAUAAGAGCAAAGGAGGGACGCAGGAGGCUAAUGACGCAUGUAGCUGGAAAAACAUGUGCAAGCAGUAAGAAAAAAGAUGAGUCAAAUGCUUAUUUUUAGAUUUCAAGCUGUGACGCGGAGUGAAAUCAAAGUAGCGAAGGUCAUGAUGUCACACUGCCAAGAAAAGCUUCUAGCCAGAGCAAUUUUACCCGUACCGCAAACCGACACAGGUAGUCGAGUGGAGAACACUCAGGUGAGCGAGAGAACUCUCGUUAAGGAACUCGGCAAAAUGACCCCGUAACUUCGGGAGAAGGGGUGCUGAUGGUAAAAGAUCAGCCGCAGUGAAUAGGCCCAAGCAACUGUUUAUCAAAAACACAGGUAUCUGCAAAAUCGUAAGAUGACGUAUAGGUGCUGACACCUGCCCGGUGCUGGAAGGUUAAGAGGAGAGCUUAGCGUAAGCGAAGGUUUGAAUUGAAGCCCCAGUAAACGGCGGCCGUAACUAUAACGGUCCUAAGGUAGCGAAAUUCCUUGUCGGGU
rnacentral:rRNA from 1 species